rnacentral:lncRNA from 1 species
AGUAGAUAAGAGAGGGCAGAUUAGAUGAAAUUGUAAACCCCCAACAACAUCCAUUCAUCCAUUGUUUUCUUUUGUAAUUUGAAUCAACUUUAUUUUGCAUGUUAAUAUUUUUGUUCUGAAAUCCAAUUUAUUAAUUUUUAUUUUCAAAGUCUUAUUAUUUUAAUUCACGUGAACGAGAAAGCCUUUCGAGUCUCUUGAGAAAACGAUACUUGGUCUUCCUAUUUAUAUUACUUGUACGAUUUGGUACACUUGCCGAUUUGUCAACAAGUUUUUGGCACCGUUGCCAGGGACUCGAGGUUUAUUUUUCUAGUAGUGUGAAUUGAUUGAAUUUGACUUGGUUGUAAUUAUUUUUAUUUUAUUUUGGGUUAAAUAUGUUUGUCGUCCUUUAACUAUCACAUUAUUUUGGUUUUAGUCCCUACUCGAAACAUUGAUGGUUUUUAGUCCUCCUUAUUUUGAAACUCUUACUAUCAGUCCUUAAAAUUGGACGGCGUUAACUUUGUCUAGACGUGGCAAACGACAAUGCCACGUUACUUUUCUCUCUCUCUUCCAUGUUGUUUUUUUUUUUAAUGAAAUUAAAUGAUUGCCGACCAUGAUUCUGCAAUGGUGUACCCCCAAUUUCUCUCUUCCUG